rnacentral:rRNA from 1 species
UGGGGAAUAUUGCGCAAUGGGGGCAACCCUGACGCAGCCAUGCCGCGUGAAUGAAGAAGGCCUUCGGGUUGUAAAGUUCUUUCGGUGACGAGGAAGGCGUGAUGUUUAAUAGGCAUCACGAUUGACGUUAAUCACAGAAGAAGCACCGGCUAACUCCGUGCCAGCAGCCGCGGUAAUACGGAGGGUGCGAGCGUUAAUCGGAAUAACUGGGCGUAAAGGGCACGCAGGCGGCUAUUUAAGUGAGGUGUGAAAUCCCCGGGCUUAACCUGGGAAUUGCAUUUCAGACUGGGUAGCUAGAGUACUUUAGGGAGGGGUAGAAUUCCACGUGUAGCGGUGAAAUGCGUAGAGAUGUGGAGGAAUACCGAAGGCGAAGGCAGCCCCUUGGGAAUGUACUGACGCUCAUGUGCGAAAGCGUGGGGAGCAAACAGGAUUAGAUACCCUGGUAGUCCACGCUGUAAACGCUGUCGAUUUGGGGAUUGGGCCUUGAGCUUGGUGCCCGAAGCUAACGUGAUAAAUCGACCGCCUGGGGAGUACGGCCGCAAGGUUAA